CUCCCUGGUGGCCAUCCAGCCUCUAUGACUCUCACAGGCUACCAUAGAUUCAUUUUGCUUUCAUUUGGUAUUUAAGGGAUUCAAUAAUAUAUAGUCUUUGUUAGGGCUGGAGAGAUGGCUCAGGAGUUGGGAGCACUGGCUGCUCUUCCAGUAGGUCCUGAGUUCAAUUCCCAGCAACCACAUGGUGACUCACAUCGAUCUGUAAUAAUAUAUAGUUUUUGUGCCUAGCCUCCUUUGCACAAUAAAUAGUAUGUGAUUUAUCCAAGUUGUUGCAUCAAACAGUAUCUUGUUCUUUCUAGUUGCAGUGAACAGAUAGAACUUCUUUAUUAAGCUGCCUGUGGUUGAACAUUUGGAUUCUUUCUGCCUUGUGGUAACUGCAUAUAGUAUCACCGUGAAUGUUUUUCCUCUGUGCCUUUGAUAAACAUGCACAAUUUACAUUUACCUUGGGGGUCAAGUACUAGUCCACAUGUGCUGCACUGCUCAAGACAGUGAAAACACAGGUAUACCACUGAACAUCUAACAUGAUCUCCACACAAUGUCCUCUGUAGCAGUGCUUGGUCCAGAGUGUGUUUUCUUUCUUUCUUUCUUUCUUUCUUUUUUUUUUUUUUUUUUUCGAGAUAGGGUUUCUCUGUAUUGCUUUGGAGGUUGUCCUGGCACUCGCUCUGUAGACCAGGCUGGCCUGGAACUCACAGAGAUCCACCUGCCUCUGCCUCCCGAGUGCUGGGAUUAAAGGCGUGCGCCACCAACGCCCGGCUCUGUGUUUUGUUUCUUAGUCAUUCUGGUUGCUGCAUGUUAGACCCUCAGGAUAAUUUGCGUUUUCCUGAUGAGUAAUGAAGGUGGGGCAUCUUUUCCUGUGCUUACUGGCCACCCAGAGUUCUUUGGAAACUGCCUCUACAAGUGUUUUCAGUUUUCUUUGAACGAUCUAUCUUUUUCUUAUUCAUUUCUAGACUGUGUUUACAAAAUCACUUGCAGGCCCUUUUAGUAAUGCACGAUUUUUAAUGGCUUCUCACAAUACAUGACUCUUUUUCUUUGAUAGACAGCAAUUCUUAUUUUUAGUGGUCGACUUUUUCAAUUUUUAUGAUUGUGUUAGUUUGACAAAUACCCAAGGCAAACAACUUAAGGCAGGAAGGAUUUCUUCUUGACUCUCAGUUGUAGAUGGCUGGUUGUUGUUUCUAAGCCUGUGGGAGACCCAUACUGUAGAAGGCACAAUGAUGCAAAGUUCCCAUCUUAAGAGGGCUAUGCAGCUAAUAGGAAAAGUGCCUGCACUGGCAGACUUCAGCCUUCCUCCACUUCCAUCCACGGGACAGCGUCACCCACAUUCAAGGUCCCUAGUGUGGUGGUAUAGUGUACACAAAGAAGAAUGGUCCUCAAGAAAAACACGAAAACUGAUAUGGAAAAUAUAUGCAAAUGGGCAUGCCCAAGGGGAAACAUCUUGUAAAGUCUAAAAUGAGUUUUCCCAUUCCUUCCCACCAAGAGCAGUCAAGCACCAUGCUCAGUUUUCAGAUGGAUCCAGCUGGCCGUGGUCUGCAGCCGCACGUUAAGAAACCAAAUUCUGAAAGUUGAACCAAAUCGAAAAGCAAAACUUGAAUUUGCUGUCGGCCAGAUACUGUGACAAAUGCAUGGAAAGGAAGAGAGGUGUAGGUGCUGUGUCCGGUGUGGAAAGCCAUCGAGAGACUUUAAAGUGCAGGUGAGGACUGCAUUAGUUAUAUUCAGAUGCUGAGCCGUUUUUACCUGGGAAGAGUCUUGAGCAUCAUGGGUGUUGGUAUGCACAAAUAGUCCAAGAACCUAUCUCUCAAUGAAGAGUAAGCUGGAGAGGUCACAGCCACAAAAGCUUUGCAACACUGUGCAAGGACAGAAUCUGAUUGCAAUGGGGCAAGACUUUCUUCUGCUCUCACUUCCCCUUUACCUCACUUACAAGCACCCUAUGCGGAGACUUUCCACAGUAUUUUUGGAACAACGCCGAGAUGAAGCUGGAUUGGAGGCAUAUUUAGCUUGGCUUUAAGGCGAUAUAUUUAGUUGGCUUCCAGUCACCUCUGUACAUAGAUAAUUUAUUGCUAUUCAUAGGAAUUGCUUCUAGAAAUACUCUGUAACUGAAGUGCCAACUCAUGCCACAUCGUGAUACGAAGGCACACAGAUGGAAGUCUACCACUGGGUGCCUGUGCAGUGGAGAAUCUGGCCCUGGAAAUGAGAGGGAAAUGAGGGGCCGUCUAGACUUUCGGUUACAGCAGUGGUAGGUGGUCAGUCUGUGGGGGUUCCUCCCUUAGCAACCACGCACAACAAGUGUAAGCCAGAAUCUCCAUCACCCUGGCUAUCAGUGAGUUAGGAAAUUCUGACUCUUUAGACCACAAACCUAUAGGAGUUUUCUAAAUGGCAUGUCCUGCUGUGGGACACAGGCUUACGCAUCUCAACUAUUUAAACCUAAAAAGAAGUCUGGUAUGACAUAUUAGUGAAAGACUAUACUGCCUUUCUAUUGUUUUUUUUUCUCCUUAAAAUUGCUAUGUGAUAAAGAGACUAGCAAAGAUUAAGUAUUCAAAAUAGUAUUGGGA
ensembl:lncRNA